rnacentral:rRNA from 1 species
AUAGAUACCCCGGUAGUCCACGCCGUAAACGAUGAGUGCUAAGUGUUAGAGGGUUUCCGCCCUUUAGUGCUGCAGCUAACGCAUUAAGCACUCCGCCUGGGGAGUACGACCGCAAGGUUGAAACUCAAAGGAAUUGACGGGGGCCCGCACAAGCGGUGGAGCAUGUGGUUUAAUUCGAAGCAACGCGAAGAACCUUACCAGGUCUUGGCAUCCCCUUGACCUCCCUAGAGAUAGGGAUUUCCCUUCGGGGACAAGGGUGACAGGUGGUGCAUGGUUGUCGUCAGCUCGUGUCGUGAGAUGUUGGGUUAAGUCCCGCAACGAGCGCAACCCUUGAGAUUAGUUGCCAGCAUUUAGUUGGGCACUCUAAUCUGACUGCCGGUGACAAACCGGAGGAAGGUGGGGAUGACGUCAAAUCAUCAUGCCCCUUAUGACCUGGGCUACACACGUGCUACAAUGGAUGGUACAAAGAGCAGCGAAGCCGCGAGGCUUAGCCAAUCCCAUAAAACCAUUCUCAGUUCGGAUUGCAGG